rnacentral:rRNA from 1 species
AUGAUCAUCACUAUGUUUCACUCAAAUGUUCAUCGACCCAAGAUCAUGGAGAAGCACGACACCCGCAAGGUACACACGGUUGCUGAGCUUUUUAAGCGCGCCCACAAGUGCGCACGUGCAGAAGGAAGAAGAAUACCUGGGGAUGGCAUCGAUGACACUGGAGAGAGAGUCGAUGCCUCUCCAAGUUCCAGCAAACGCAAGAGCCAAAAGCACAAAUCUAAAGUUGUGCUUGUGGUGGAGUCAUCCAACAAGAAACCCAAGGCCAAUGAUAGAUGCAAAGAGCAGGCCACAAGCGGCGCUCGGGGAACCCUUAUUGCAAGAUACAUCUCACCUCCGACCAUGACAUCCAAGAAUGUCGGCAGGUGGAAUACCUGA